UACAGAGGUCUCAAGCGUUGUUCGGAUUCAUUGGGCGUAAAGGGUGUGUAGGUGGCGCGCUAAGUCGGGUGUGAAAUUUCGGAGCUUAACUCCGAAACUGCAUUCGAUACUGGCGUGCUUGAGGACUGGAGAGGAGACUGGAAUUCCUGGUGUAGCGGUGAAAUGCGCAGAUAUCAGGAGGAACACCGGUGGCGAAGGCGGGUCUCUGGGCCGAUACUGACGCUGAGGAGCGAAAGCGUGGGGAGCAAACAGG
rnacentral:rRNA from 1 species